rnacentral:rRNA from 1 species
UACGGAAGGCAGCAGUGGGGAAUAUUGCACAAUGGGCGCAAGCCUGAUGCAGCCAUGCCGCGUGUAUGAAGAAGGCCUUCGGGUUGUAAAGUACUUUCAGUCGUGAGGAAGGUGUUAAGGUUAAUAACCUUAGCAAUUGACGUUAGCGACAGAAGAAGCACCGGCUAACUCCGUGCCAGCAGCCGCGGUAAUACGGAGGGUGCGAGCGUUAAUCGGAAUUACUGGGCGUAAAGGGCACGCAGGCGGUUAAUUAAGUUGGAUGUGAAAUCCCCGGGCUUAACCUGGGAAUGGCAUUCAAGACUGGUUAGCUAGAGUCUUGUAGAGGGGGUAGAAUUCCAUGUGUAGCGGUGAAAUGCGUAGAGAUGUGGAGGAUACCGGUGGCGAAGGCGGCCCCUGGACAAAGACUGACGCUCAUGUGCGAAAGCGUGGGGAGCGAAACAGGGAUUAGAUACC